rnacentral:rRNA from 1 species
UCAACAUAGCAAUAUGUGGCAUACGGCUCAGUAACACGUAGUCAACAUGCCCAGGGGACGUGGAUAACCUCGGGAAACUGAGGAUAAACCGCGAUAGGUCAUCACUUCUGGAAUGGGUAAUGACUUAAAUCUACAUGGCCCCUGGAUUGGACUGCGGCCGAUCAGGCUGUUGGUGAGGUAAUGGCCCACCAAACCUGUAACCGGUACGGGCUCUGAGAGGAGGAGCCCGGAGAUGGGCACUGAGACAAGGGCCCAGGCCCUAUGGGGCGCAGCAGGCGCGAAACCUCUGCAAUAGGCGAAAGCUUGACAGGGUUACUCUGAGUGAUUUCCGUUAAGGAGAUCUUUUGGCACCUCUAAAAAUGGUGCAGAAUAAGGGGUGGGCAAGUCUGGUGUCAGCCGCCGCGGUAAUACCAGCACCCCGAGUGGUCGGGACGUUUAUUGGGCCUAAAGCAUCCGUAGCCGGUUCUACAAGUCUUCCGUUAAAUCCACCUGCUUAACAGAUGGGCUGCGGAAGAUACUAUAGAGCUAGGAGGCGGGAGAGGCAAGCGGUACUCGAUGGGUAGGGGUAAAAUCCGUUGAUCCAUUGAAGACCACCAGUGGCGAAGGCGGCUUGCCAGAACGCGCUCGACGGUGAGGGAUGAAAGCUGGGGGAGCAAACCGGAUUAGAUACCCGGGUAGUCCCAGCUGUAAACGAUGCAGACUCGGUGAUGAGUUGGCUUAUUGCUAACUCAGUGCCGCAGGGAAGCCGUUAAGUUUGCCGCCUGGGGAGUACGGUCGCAAGACUGAAACUUAAAGGAAUUGGCGGGGGAGCACCACAAGGG